GCCAGGGUGGUGUAGUGGUAACAUUCGGGAUUGUGGAUCCUGAGCUGAGAGUUCAAUUCUCUCCCCCGGCACCA
rnacentral:tRNA from 1 species